UGGCCCAAUGGAUAAGGCAUCCGCCUACGAAGCGGGAGAUUGCGAGUUCGAGUCCCGU
rnacentral:tRNA from 1 species